UCCAGGAAGAAGAAACAACUGGCAUCAGCAAAGAUCUGGAGUCAUGAAACUGCCCCCGAGGAUGGCUGGGAAAAGAAGAUCCAGGAACUGCUGGUGUCUGUACUAGUUACCGCCCUGAUAGGAAAGGCAGAAGCCAUAGCUCUCACCAAACCUCCAGCAUUUAAACUUUGCUGUGGAGUCUACGUGACCCCACCACGAGGUGACCCUCACCUUUCCCUCCAUACCUGGGGAGACAGACAUGGCAGUGGUCACUGAACCCUGGGAUGACACGCUACCUCAUCCUUUAUGACACCCUUUGAUAUGUUGCUUUUGAUGCAUUUCUUUGUAUCCCAUUUGGUUUCAUUUUUAGCAAUAAACUCAUUCUUGGUAC
rnacentral:lncRNA from 10 species